UACUAGGCGGGAAGGCC
rnacentral:tRNA from 1 species